AGUAGUGGGUAGCCUGCUGUCUGUUGUCUGUCCUCAGUGGCGUGUGGACCAGGAUCAGGUGUGUGCGUGGCGGGUUGGCUACUGCUGGCUGUGAGUAUUACGAGGAAUUUCAAGCGUAAUAGUGAGAUGCUGUGUUUCAUAGUAUUGGUCUAGUGUUGGUGGGGACUGCUCAGGAUAGCUGGGGUCCCGUGGUUCACGUAGGAGAGAGGGGCGUGACCAGGCUGUCACGUGGUACUUCACAAUUAUGGACAGCCUCCAGCUGCAAGUAGUACGAAUGGAUCCUAAUGAACCCGGAGCCCGGUGACUUGCAGAUGGAUAGCUCACAGACGUGAGACGUGAGCAUGUACGCGGAUCGGUCAUAAGUAAUAUGUCUGCAGCCUGCUGAUCUGCACCAUAGGAAACAUGUGCUUUCAUAGGACACUUCUAUAUAUGUGCAUCUUCUGAAAAUACUAUUAUAUGGUGUUAUAGCAUAAGCUUUAGGUUAGACUCUUUCUUGUUGGACUUAAUAAGGGUAGCGGGGAGAGGGAUUUAUAUAGGAGGGAAAUGUCCGCGGCGCUUCGUCACCACACCGUUAAGAGGAAUAAAAAUUAUUAUAAAUAUUGCUUCCUAAGACGGAAUAAGUUCGUUGACCUUCUUGAAUUGAAGGGGAAGGUGAACGCCGAACCUGUUGCACUGAAAGGCUGUCGAAAGCCGCCUAAGCUGCCCUUAGAAUGUGCAUUCACUACGAGUACAAAAAGUUAGUGUUCGGCGUGCACUGAAUAUAGAACGAAGGGACUUUUGACUUUUGAUUUUGGAUUGAAUGGAGGGAGCGGCUCAGAUAAGGAUUGCAAAGAUUAUGAACAGAAAAAUUCGGUUAUUCAUUGCUGCCCGAAAAGUACAUGAUCUGUAUUCAGUAAACCAAAAUUUAAUUAUUGCAACAUACGUGCUUGGAUCGCGAACGUGCUUCACCCCUGCAGACGUCCCGACUACAGGCCACAUUGGUUAGCAAUCACGUACUUUAUCUCAACGGCUGUUAGUGGGUAAACUUACCUCGUUAAUCAAUAGUGAAAGCUUAAAUUCUAAGAAUGAAAUCUUCCCUUUUUAUCGUUACGUAGCAUUUUUAAGACUAAAUUCUUUCAAUUUAGUCACGUUGGGAAUUAGGAAAUACAUGAAUUGCUCCAGACAAUCUUACCUCCACAUUUUAUACGUGUUUUCUGUCCCUUCCCCACUUAAUAUUUUUAAUAAUUAAUUUGUUUUAAUUUACUAUAUUAUAAUAGUAAAUAAUUUCGAAUCGCGUAUUUUAACUUCUGGAAAUUAUAAAAUCACUGAAAAUGGAAAUUAUAGAAUCACUGAAAAUGUUAAACUCCAUCUUAGUUUUAACAUAAUGCACUUAGCUAUCUAUGUCUACACACAAUAUAAACUGUGCCCACUUGCAUACAAUAGCAUUAUAUGCUAUUCUUCCACUCGUGUCCAAAUCCACAUGCACUGAACAAAUCUACUGCAUCCUUUAUAAAGCAAAAAUGAGAUUAGAAGGACGCGGCUAACUGAAAUUUUACUCGCAGUGGACCAAAUGAACGGUUUUUUUUUUUUUUUUUUCUUUUGUACUACAAAAGACACCUUUAGAAUCCAAUGUAUGUCAAGCCUGUCCAAUGCUGAGCUAUAGAAACAAACCAUAGAACUUAUGAAUACCCAGACAGUACCUAAGGUCUUUUCAUCACGGAAUUAUAUACCUCAGUCAAGUAAUUUUAAAGCUACUCAAAGCCACACUUUACAAAUCCCAUAGUAAUAAUGUAUUUCAAUCAUGAGAAAAAUUAGAAUACAUAUAUUUUCUUGGUAACUUACUAUGCAUGAAUCCACAACUUCACUCACUCCAUAUCUAUUCAUUAGUAGAUGAAGUUGUCUCUUUAUGGAAAUGCUUACUUUGCAAAUUGUCUCCAUCUUAUUAGAAAUACCAGUUUAGAGUUAAAUUUCCUUACCAUAACAUUAAGACAUUGAAAUAGGACUAUGUAUUGCUGCGGUCUGCUAUGUAUUGCAAGAAGAAAGAAAAAGAUGAAAAGAAAAA